GCUUGUGAACAUGUAAGGCAACUUUGCACUAAAUUUGGGUAAGUAGAAUGUACGCAAUCGUAAUAAUGAAAUAAAUCCGAACGCAAUCAUAACGCACCCGUUUUUCGUCUCAUUUUUCGCUGCUGACAAAGGCUGCAUGCGAUAACGCAAUUCAUAUUGCAUGUAGCAACUUGAGAUAACUACGUCAACACUUCUUUUUUAAGGUCUCAAAAUUUACCACCACGAAAUAAUUACAAUUCAUCAAAAUGUUCACCCAAUAUUAAAGAAAACGGGUUCUUUUGGAUGACAUUUCUAUUUAUUUUUUUGGUUUAUUUGACAAAGAAAAAACCAACCCCUAAAUUUAAAUACACCAUUGAUGCAUCCGGACUGCUGAACUUGUAGAACACUCUUACUCGGUGGGUCCGAUCCGUUUUAUAUUAUUUAUUUAUCGGCUUCGCCUUCGGUCAUGGGAUUGUCGGACACAUUGCAAGUUAUUUACAUAUAAUUUUCCCAAAUCCGAUUUUCCCGUCUUAUGUAAAUUAUUACCGUACAGGCUUUUUCGGUCUUUCUGGACGACCCCACGCAUUAUUCACCGAUAAAAAUACAUCAACAAUAAUAAUAAUAAUGAUACGGCAAUGAAGAAUAGUUCAUAAUCACCCGA